rnacentral:misc_RNA from 1 species
UCAAUUCUCAAGUUUUGCUGGGAAUUUGUUGAUGGGUUACUGAGAAAUGGCUGGAUUUUGAUGAAUAAAGUGAUAUUGUCAUUUAUAUUAAUGCAAUCUGAUUCCUCGCAGUAGUUAAUAAUGGCUAGACUAAUUCUGUUUAGUUUUUGUUAUCUCAGGAAGCACGAAUUUUAUAAUACUUGCUGUGUUGACUCUGGUUUUGAAAGGGGCAUGGCAUUUCAGGCAGGUAUGCGUGUUUUCUACCCAGCUCUCUGUUCCAUUGAUAUCUUUAUAUUGUCCUUCUGAGUUUUACUCAUAGGCCAUAUAUUUUGGAGCAUAGGUGAGUUGGAUUUGUUGUCUUCUUACCUUCUUAAAUUAAAUAUUUUUUGAAUAAGGGUUAGUUUUGGGUUUCUAUCUCUAUUCAGUUGUAUUAUUUUGAUAUUUCCCUGGAUAUUUAAAUUCUUAAAGGAAGAAAUACCAUGCACAUUAAAGCAAUUUUCUACAUUUUAGUAAUUUAAUACUCUGGAACUUCUGGAUGUUAUUUUAGUAAACCUUAAGCUUUUGUUUUUCUUCUUUUAAUUUCUUUAGGCCUAAAUUGCUACUCCUUCUUCUUCUUCUUCUUCUU